GAGCAGAACUUCUCCCAUGAUGCUUUGUUGUAUAUGCAAACGUACCCCAGUUCUACCUCCCUGGUUGGCCUGUGGGCCUCUCCACCCCUUUUUCCUUAUAUGUAUAUGCCCUAGAAUGUUCUCCCUUCCCUGCUUACCCAUGGGCCCCAUAUUGCCACAGUGUCCCACUCCUUUACCCUACUGGCUGCCACCCCUUGUCCCUCGCUGUACUGCCCUGAGCCCUCAGCCCAUUGGCCCUGACGCUCUGCUCCACCCACCUUGUCCCCUAUAUUUAAAUCUGGACCCUCCACUGUUCUUUUGUCUCUGUCCCUGGACCCCUUCGUGUGUGGCUGCAAUAAACGUCCUCAGAACUUUACACAAAGACCCUUCCCACUUCUUUGUCAUUGGUGAUUCCACAAGAGCUACCAGAAGUGUGUGCUGCAGUGAUUGUGUGUGUGUGCGCCUGUGCCACCAAGCUCCUUCAUUACUGGAGACACUUCUGGAAGGUCACGGCUCUGCUGCCUCUUGCUCCACCACCAACAGAAUUCUUGUUUUUCAGAACCACCCUAGCCUGUUGCCAGGAGGAUGACAACCUCCCCUCGGACGGUGGGGAGAGGGAGAAAUUUGCAUCUCAGGAGACAAGCAAAUUUAUCGCAAACCCAAACUGCACUGGGACGGGACCUUCACCAAAUCCUGGAAAAUACCCCAAAAAAGACGAGCCAAAGCAGAAUCGAGAAGUCAGGGUGG